GUGCCAGCAGCCGCGGUAAUACGUAGGUGGCAAGCGUUAUCCGGAAUUAGUGGGCGUAAAGCGCGCGUAGGCGGUUUUUUAAGUCUGAUGUGAAAGCCCACGGCUCAACCGUGGAGGGUCAUUGGAAACUGGAAAACUUGAGUGCAGAAGAGGAAAGUGGAAUUCCAUGUGUAGCGGUGAAAUGCGCAGAGAUAUGGAGGAACACCAGUGGCGAAGGCGACUUUCUGGUCUGUAACUGACGCUGAUGUGCGAAAGCGUGGGGAUCAAACAGGAUUAGAUAC
rnacentral:rRNA from 1 species